rnacentral:rRNA from 1 species
GAUGAACGCUGGCGGCGUGCCUAAUACAUGCAAGUCGAGCGAACAGACGAGGAGCUUGCUCCUCUGACGUUAGCGGCGGACGGGUGAGUAACACGUGGAUAACCUACCUAUAAGACUGGGAUAACUUCGGGAAACCGGAGCUAAUACCGGAUAAUAUAUUGAACCGCAUGGUUCAAUAGUGAAAGACGGUUUUGCUGUCACUUAUAGAUGGAUCCGCGCCGCAUUAGCUAGUUGGUAAGGUAACAGCUUACCAAGGCAACGAUGCGUAGCCGACCUGAGAGGGUGAUCGGCCACACUGGAACUGAGACACGGUCCAGACUCCUACGGGAGGCAGCAGUAGGGAAUCUUCCGCAAAGGGCGAAAGCCUGACGAAGCAACGCCGCGUGAGUGAUGAAGGUCUUCGGAUCGUAAAACUCUGUUAUUAGGGAAGAACAAAUGUGUAAGUAACUAUGCACGUCUUGACGGUACCUAAUCAGAAAGCCACGGCUAACUACGUG